GAUCAGAUUAGUAUCUCUUUCUCCCCCACUUUAUACCCAUGACCCUUAGACAUAAAAAUAUCCAUAGAAGCUCCUCCAAGGCAGGCCACUCCAAUCUCCCUCAAACCUUAAGUGAUUUUGUUUUUUCAAGUUCUAGUUGGAGGGAAACUUAAAAGUUGAAGAACCAAAUCAGGAGUUGAGUUCUUCAUCAAGCAAGGUUGAAGUACUACGGGCAGUAUCUAUUGAGUCGUUAACAACAAAGGUUUAGGUAGACAGACAGACGGUCCAGCUCGGUAGGACUUCCAUCAAGCAAUAGUCAGUGCGGUCCACUUGGUCCGGAGCUACAGUCUAUUUUAGUAUGCUAUUUUGAUGUACAUAUAUGGGUAUGACGGGGCCUUGUCCCGUCCUUUCUACAGCUUGUACUCCUCUAGAGGUCUGUAGAUAGUUGUAUGUAGUAUGGAUGUCAUUUAGCCUUGUCGGCUUCUAUUUUGUUGUACAGUGGCCUAGUCGGCUUGCACUGUUGUUUCCAGCAUGUUUGUAUAUAUGUUUAGGAGUUUUGAUGCGUAGUUCAUUGUGCUGUUUCCACAGAAGUCAGUAUAGUUUAGUUAUGAGUUAUUCAGUGAGAUCCAGGUACAAGGAUGGGAGUGUCAGACAAGUAGAACUCGGGCACUCGUCAUGACUCAUCGGUUUUGGGUCGUGACACCUGAGAUAUAUCCACUACUUUGGUGCAAUUGGUUGUUGGACCCCUUAUGUCCUUGCAUGAAAACUGGGUUCGAGUCUGGCUAUAGCAGUUUCGUUUCUACUUUUUUGUUGAAUUU